AUUAUCAAUGAUGGUUUUUUGGUGCAUGUAUGAGUCGUAUACGAUGAAUACGUGUCUGGAACUCUGAGGUCCAA
ensembl:snoRNA